GAUCAUGGCUCAGGAUGAACGCUGGCGGCGUGCCUAACACAUGCAAGUCGAACGAAGCACUUGUUACGAUCCCUCGGGGUGACGACUUGUGGCUGAGUGGCGGACGGGUGAGUAACGCGUGAGCAACCUGUCCCUUACAGGGGGAUAACACAGCGAAAGUUGUACUAAUACCGCAUAAGACCACGGCAUCACAUGGGUGGUGGGGUCAAAGGAGCAAGUCCGGUAAGGGGUGGGCUCGCGUCCGAUUAGAUAGUUGGUGAGGUAACGGCCCACCAAGUCGACGAUCGGUAGCCGACCUGAGAGGGUGAUCGGCCACAUUGGGACUGAGACACGGCCCAAACUCCUACGGGAGGCAGCAGUGGGGAAUAUUGGGCAAUGGGGGGAACCCUGACCCAGCAACGCCGCGUGAGGGAAGAAGGUUUUCGGAUCGUAAACCUCUGUCCUUGGUGAAGAGGAAGAGACGGUAGCCAAGGAGGAAGCCCCGGCUAACUACGUGCCAGCCGCCGC
rnacentral:rRNA from 1 species